CAAGUCGUACGCGAAAGCCCGCAAGGGUAAGUAGAGUGGCGCACGGGUGAGUAAUACUUGGGUAAUGUACCCUCUCGCUGGGGAUAACCAGGCGAAAGCUUGGCUAAUACCGAAUGAUCCGUCCGAGGCUCAGGCCUUGGCCGGUAAAGCCGUAAGGCGCGAGUGGAAUAGCCCAAGUCCCAUUAGCUAGUUGGUAGGGUAACGGCCUACCAAGGCUUCGAUGGGUAGCUGGUCUGAGAGGACGAUCAGCCACACUGGUACUGACACACGGACCAGACUCCUACGGGAGGCAGCAGUUAGGAAUUUUGCGCAAUGGGAGAAAUCCUGACGCAGCAACGCCGCGUGAGGGAUGAAGGCCUUCGGGUUGUAAACCUCUUUUAGCAGGGAAGAACAAAAUGACGGUACCUGCAGAAAAAGCACCGGCUAACUCUGUGCCAGCAGCCGCGGUAAUACAGAGGGUGCAAGCGUUAUUCGGAAUUACUGGGCGUAAAGCGCAUGUAGGCUGUUUGAUAAGUUCGGUGUGAAAUCCCUGGGUUCAACUCAGGAAGUGCACCGAAUACUGUCAGGCUUGAGUAUGGGAGGGGAGAGUGGAAUUCCUGGUGUAGAGGUGAAAUUCGUAGAUAUCAGGAGGAACAACAGUGGCGAAGGCGACUCUCUGGACCAUUACUGACGCUGAGAUGCGAAAGCGUGGGGAGCAAACAGGAUUAGAUACCCUGGUAGUCCACGCCGUAAACUAUGGUCACUAGACGUCGGACGGCUUACCCGUUCGGUGUCGUAGCUAACGCGUUAAGUGACCCGCCUGGGAAGUACGGUCGCAAGAUUAAAACUCAAAGGAAUUGGCGG
rnacentral:rRNA from 1 species